GACGAACGCUGGCGGCGUGCUUAACACAUGCAAGUCGAACGGAAAGGCCCUGCUUUUGUGGGGUGCUCGAGUGGCGAACGGGUGAGUAACACGUGAGUAACCUGCCCUUGACUUUGGGAUAACUUCAGGAAACUGGGGCUAAUACCGGAUAGGAGCUCCUGCUGCAUGGUGGGGGUUGGAAAGUUUCGGCGGUUGGGGAUGGACUCGCGGCUUAUCAGCUUGUUGGGGGGGUAGUGGCUUACCAAGGCUUUGACGGGUAGCCGGCCUGAGAGGGUGACCGGCCACAUUGGGCCUGAGAUACGGCCCAGACUCCUACGGGAGGCAGCAGUGGGGAAUAUUGCACAAUGGGCGGAAGCCUGAUGCAGCAACGCCGCGUGCGGGAUGACGGCCUUCGGGUUGUAAACCGCUUUCGCCUGUGACGAAGCGUGAGUGACGGUAAUGGGUAAAGAAGCACCGGCUAACUACGUG
rnacentral:rRNA from 1 species